ensembl:lncRNA
AUUAUCUGAGUUUAUUCUAUUGUUUGUACUGAAACUAGGUUUUUAUAUAUUUGUGAACUUUUGUAAUGAAAAUUAAAAACAAAUAAGCAGAGUACAACAAUAAAUACGGUACAUCUUAAAUUAUUUGGAGACUAAUAGCUCAGUUACAGAAAUAGUCGACCACUAGUAUUUUAACACUUGCUUGAUUCUUGCUAGACUCCACACUCCACACUUAAAAAGAAUGAAAUGGAACACAAUAAAUCUAAACUCAUUUUGUACUGGUGUGCAAGUCUGAUAAGGACCUUGGUGAGUCUGAGAUUGAAAAUAGUUCAGUUACUUAAUGUUACCUGCAGAUGUAAAAUAAUUCCUGCUCUUUUCCUCUUUAACUUAGAAAACAAGAGAGUUGCAUAUGUUGUUCUGAGAAUGAGCAUACUGGCCUGCCUUUUAUUUGGAAGCCUGCAUGUUUUCUUCAGUCGUAAGAAGAAGGCUGACCUCAUUCUAAGUGAGUAUACAAGAUGUUCCCAGCCUCUGGAAGAUCAAGACAAAGAUGAAAGAGUCCUUGUUUUCCUAAAGCCUGGAAGAAUUCAGGGGAAGUAGAGAAUGAAGAGGAUUCCUCUGUUGCUUGGCAAUGAACAGGCAAUCUGUGCAUCUAAACUGUGGGUACCAAAACUCUUCUGCUUUUCCCACCAAUGGUGUGUUAAUAUUUAGGAAGCUCCAAUCUCUAGACCUUAAUCCCAUGAGACUAAAAAUUAAAAAUAACAAUCAAUCUAGUUUCUUAGUAGCCAGAGAGAAGGUGAUCAGGAAUAAUAAUCUGGACACAAUUGUGGUUAGUUAAAAGUACUGUUAGGGCCAGAUGAAAUUUCAACUGAAAUAAUUUUCAGAACACCUAAGAUUUGAAGAACUGUCUUAUGCAAAAACAAUAACAAAAGCAAAAUGAAACAAAAAGCAUUAUUUCAGAGUAAGCACUGUAUUAGCUAAAUUAGGAAAGAGAAUGGCCAGUAUGAAAAUCAGUGUGUGGCCUCAGAUGUCAAAUGGAAGAAGCAUUUCAAGUAACAAAGCAAAGCUGAAGAAAAGAGACCAUCAUAAGGCAAAAGAUAGAAGUGUGGAAGGCUGAGUACAGGAGACUUAAUAGAAGUGAUGCCAUUCCAGAAGGAGAAAAAGAAUAGGAGGAGGAAAGACAGUAAUUGAAUACGUUAUUAAGGAAUGUCUCCUGAGAGGAAGAAUCAUGUCUGUAGAAUGAGAGGAAUGUCCGACUUCUAAACUAAAUCAGUGACUAAAGAUGCACAUCCAACACUUCCUGGUAAAACUAAAAUGAAAGAAUUAAAAAAGGGCUGGCAUUUGGCCUCAUGGUUAAGACUGCUGGAUCCCAUAUUGGAGUAUCUGUGUUUGAUACUUGGCUCCACCUCCUGACUCCAACUUACUGCUAAUGCAGAACUUGGGAGGCAGAAGUGAUGACUCAAGUGGUUGGUUUCCUGCCAUCUACAUGGGAGACCUGGAUUAAGUUCUCAGCUCCCUGCUUCAGCCUUGGCCAGUGGACAGGAGUGCAAGCGCACACACACACACACACACACACACUUGAAUGAAAAAAUAAACAAGCCUCCAAACAUAAGUUACCUACUAAG